rnacentral:lncRNA from 1 species
GCUAUCCAAUAUCUCAAAAGUUUUAGAUAUUAAUUAUUACCUAAAUUGAUUUAAAGAAGAAAUUUGGAUGUUACUUUGCUGAUUAUUCUAACAAUUUGAUAUCUAAUCAAGUUCAAUCUAAGCUAAUCUAUGGCCUCAGUGAGAUUGCAGCAAAAAAGAGAGGGGUCACUCAAGGGUGACAAUGGUAAGAGUAGAAGCAAAAGAAAAGGAAAAAAGGAUGGGGGUGAGAGAUUAAGAGAUGAGAGAGGAGAAGAAGGGAGAGAGUAAAAGGUGGUGCGAAGAGCCAUUGUCUCUUGCACCAAUUCCUAUAUUUUUUUCUAUUCCAUGGAAAGAGUGGGGG